rnacentral:rRNA from 1 species
CAUGCAAGUCGAACGGAAACAGGACGCUGUGAUCCCUUCGGGGUGAACUUGUCGCUGUCGAGUGGCGGACGGGUGAGUAAUGCUUAGGAAUCUGCCCAGUAGUGGGGGACAACACGGGGAAACUCGUGCUAAUACCGCAUACGCUCUACGGAGGAAAGCGGAGGAUCUUCGGACUUCGCACUAUGGGAUGAGCCUAAGUCGGAUUAGCUUGUUGGUGAGGUAAUGGCUCACCAAGGCGACAAUCCGUAGCUGGUCUGAGAGGACGAUCAGCCACACUGGGACUGAGACACGGCCCAGACUCCUACGGGAGGCAGCAGUGGGGAAUAUUGGACAAUGGGGGCAACCCUGAUCCAGCAAUACCGCGUGUGUGAAGAAGGCCUGCGGGUUGUAAAGCACUUUCAGUAGAGAAGAAAAGCUUACGCUUAAUACGUGUGAGUCUUGACGUAACCUACAGAAGAAGCACCGGCUAACUCCGUGCCAGCAGCCGCGGUAAUACGGAGGGUGCGAGCGUUAAUCGGAAUUACUGGGCGUAAAGCGCGCGUAGGCGGUCUGGUCAGUCGGAUGUGAAAGCCCCGGGCUUAACCUGGGAAUUGCAUUCGAUACUGCCAAACUAGAAUGUUGGGGAGGGAAGUGGAAUUUCCGGUGUAGC